rnacentral:rRNA from 1 species
UACGUAGGGGGCAAGCGUUAUCCGGAUUUACUGGGUGUAAAGGGAGCGUAGACGGCAAGACAAGUCAGAAGUGAAACCCUAUCGCUCAACGAUAGGCAUGCUUUUGAAACUGUUUCGCUAGAGUGCAGGAGAGGUAAGUGGAAUUCCUAGUGUAGCGGUGAAAUGCGUAGAGAUUAGGAGGAACACCAGUGGCGAAGGCGGCUUACUGGACUGUAACUGACGUUGAGGCUCGAAAGCGUGGGGAGCAA